AUCAAUUUGGCGAAGAAACUAAAGAGAAAAUAUUACGACGAUGACCACCACAGAUCUACAAUGGAAGAAUUCACCACGUGUAGUUGAGGGUAAAAGAAAACGUUGAACGACAAUGUUUUCUGGAAAUAUUCAAACAAGUG